ensembl:snoRNA
AGCCCGUGAUGGUGUAAGAGUAGUGGACAGAAGGGAUUUCUGAGAAGUGACGUUCUGAGGCU